AAUUUAAUUUAGAAAAGUGUUUAGUCGUUCAUUUAAACCUUUAGUCGAUUUAUUUAUUUAUUUUUUUUCAUUUAAGCCAUUAUUCG